rnacentral:rRNA from 1 species
AUGGGGAACAAGCCGGCGUGCAUGUCGCUGGCGCCGGCGGCGGGCGCGGCGUCGGCGUCGAGCGGCGGGGGAUGCAAGGUGAUCCACGCGGACGGGCGGGUGACGCGGCUGGCGCGGCCGGUGCGGGCGUCGGAGCUCAUGCUGGACCACCCGGGCAAGUUCGUGUGCGACGCCUGCCGCCUCGCCGUCGGCUGCCGCGUGCCGGGCGUCGCCGCCGACGAGCUCCUCCAGCCGCGCCGCGCAUACUUCCUCCUCCCCAUGGACAUGCUCUACUCCGUGCUCACCGACGACGAGAUGGCCGCGCUCGCCGCCCCCUCCCACGGCGCCGCCACGGCCGCCACCGCCGCGUGGCGGAGGAUCGUGGUCACCACCACCAGACGGCGACGGGGCGGGAACAACAGCAGCGGCGGACGCGGCGCCUCUUCCAGGCAGAGCAAUGGCGACGCCGGCAGGGUGUUCCCGGUCGUCGGCCUGCUGCAGCUCCAGGACGCCCCCGCCGGGCACCCCACGAUUGGCGUCAAGUCGAGCGGCGCCACCGUCGGGUUGAGGCGGCUCCGGUCGUGGCGGCCGGUGCUGGACACCAUCGAGGAGGCGCCGUGA